rnacentral:rRNA from 1 species
CUGUUUAUCAAAAACAUGGUUUCUUGUAAUUAUUUAGGAGAUCUGACCUGCCCACUGAAAAUAUUUUGAAGGGCCGCCGUAUUUUGACUGUGCAAAGGUAGCAUAAUCAUUAGUCUUUUAAUUAAAGGCUGGUAUGAAUGGUUGGAUGAGGUAAAUUCUGUUUUAUGUUAAUUGAUAUUGAAUUUAGAUUUUAAGUAAAAAUACUUAAAUGUUAUUAAGGGACGAGAAGACCCUAUAGAGUUUAAUAAAUGUAGUAAUUAAUUGAGUUAAAGUUUAAUUUUUGGUUUUUAUGUAAUUUAUUUAAUUGGGGUGAUUGGAAGAUAAAAUAAACUCUUCUUUAUAUUUAAUAAAUUAAUUAGUUGUAUGAUCCAUAUUUAAUGAUUAAAAGAUUAAAUUACCUUAGGGAUAACAGCAUAAUUCUUUUUAAGAGUUCAUAUCGAAAAAAGAGAUUGUGACCUCGAUGUUGGAUUAAGAUUAGUUAUGGGUGCAGAUGUUCAAUAACUAGGUCUGUUCGACCUUAAAAAUCUUACAUGAUCUGAGUUCAAACCGGAG